GGGAUCGAAGAUGAUUAGAUACCAUCGUAGUCUUAACCAUAAACUAUGCCGACUGAGGAUUCUUGAAAUUUGUAAAUGAAUUUAAGAGCACUCCAUGAGAAAUCAAAGUCUUUGGGUUCCGGGGGGAGUAUGGUCGCAAGUCUGAAACUUAAAGGAAUUGACGGAAGGGCACACCAGGAGUGGAGCCUGCGGCUUAAUUUGACUCAACACGGGGAAACUUACCAGGUCCAGACAAAGUAAGGAUUGACAGAUUGAGAGCUCUUUCUUGAUUCUUUGGGUGGUGGUGCAUGGCCGUUCUUAGUUGGUGGAGUGAUUUGUCUGGUUAAUUCCGAUAACGAACGAGACCCCAACCUGCUAACUAGACUAGAGUAUUUCACGAUACUUUAGCGCUUCUUAGAGGGACAUUUCGGAUCUACCGGAAGGAAGUUCGUG
rnacentral:rRNA from 1 species